rnacentral:misc_RNA from 1 species
GAUGAAGAACGUAGCGAAAUGCGAUAAGUAAUGUGAAUUGCAGAAUUCAGUGAAUCAUCGAAUCUUUGAACGCACCUUGCACCCUUUGGACUGCUCCAAAGGGUAUGCUCGUUUGAGUGUCAUUGUACUCUCACACUCUCUGAUCCUUUGGAUUUGGGGAGCAGUGGACUUGGGUGCUUGCUGCUUCCUUGUGGCUCACCUGAAAUGCAUCAGUGCAUCUCUCGAUUGGACAUAGUACGGCGUGAUAAGUGUCUUCGCCGGCACCUCAUAUGAGGGUGGCCGAUCGGGAGCUCUGUGCUUUCAAACCGUCUUCGGACAACGCUGACAACUUGACCUCAAAUCGAGUAGGACUACCCGCUGAACUUAAGCAUAUCAAUAACGGAGGA